rnacentral:rRNA from 1 species
AGGGUUCGAUUAUGGCUCAGGAUGAACGCUGGCGGCGUGCUUAACACAUGCAAGUCGAACGAUUAACCCGUCUUCGGACGGUUAUAAAGUGGCGAACGGGUGAGUAACACGUGACCAACCUGCCUCUUACAUUGGGAUAACUCAAAGAAAUUUGAGCUAAUACCAAAUACUCCGAGAACCUCGCAUGAGGUACUCGGGAAAGCUUUUGCGGUAAGAGAUGGGGUCGCGGCCUAUUAGGUAGUUGGUGGGGUAACGGCCUACCAAGCCUACGAUAGGUAGCCGGGUUGAGAGACCGACCGGCCACAUUGGGACUGAGAUACGGCCCAG